rnacentral:rRNA from 1 species
GAGUUUGAUCGUGGCUCAGAUUGAACGCUGGCGGCAUGCCUUACACAUGCAAGUCGAGCGGCAGCGCGGGGGCAACCCUGGCGGCGAGCGGCGAACGGGUGAGUAAUACAUCGGAACGUGUCCUGUCGUGGGGGAUAACCAGUCGAAAGAUUGGCUAAUACCGCAUGACCUCGUAAGAGAAAAGCGGGGGACCGUAAGGCCUCGCGCGACUGGAGCGGCCGAUGUCGGAUUAGCUAGUUGGCGGGGUAAAAGCCCACCAAGGCGACGAUCCGUAGCUGGUUUGAGAGAACGACCAGCCACACUGGGACUGAGACACGGCCCAGACUCCUACGGGGGGCAGCAGUGGGGAAUUUUGGACAAUGGGGGCAACCCUGAUCCAGCCAUGCCGCGUGUGUGAAGAAGG